rnacentral:lncRNA from 1 species
UUAUAAAUAUAAUAAUAAAAUUAUUAACCAAUCUACCUCAUAGGUACAGAAAUUCUAGGCAGAUUGUUAUAAAACAGUCUAGCAACAUAGAAAAAGACUAGGCAUGAGGACCUUGUAGUUUUACUCUGAGAAGGCAAGAUAGUUUAAAGAUAGAUUUAUAAUUCCAAUUCAUGUAAUUAGCCAUAUUAACACAUCUAAUAUUUCAUUUUUUGAGUUUAUAUGGCUUUCAUUGUGGUUUUUCUAGAUAUAUAGUUGUCAAAUAACAUGUUACUAUAUCAAGAGAAGGCUUAUGACAAAUACAAUCUAUUUGUAGAAAACCAGAGAUGCAAAGAGAAACAUGUGACUCCCAAAAGGUCUAUGGACAGAAACAGCAGAUCCGGGGCUUUCUGCUGAAGUAGCCUAUGUUUCUCUUUUGAAUGAGAAACAAGGGAGUUCCUCCUCCUACCCAAGUUGCUGUUUCAACAUGAAGCCAGAGUCCAGUCAGAGGUGGAAGGCAGAGGAAAAGGUAACAGAUGAAAACAGCUCCCACCACUGGAGGAAAUAAAAAGAUACCCAAGAAGAUGUUCAAAUCUAUCUGGGAGAGUCUUCCAGGUUUCUGGGUACACAUUGAACAUGUCAACUGGAACCUACAAGUUAGAGCCCACAGAAGAUAUUUUGAAGAUAUGGACCUCCUAGAUAAGAGCUGAUCACUAUGACAUGUGUUAUUACCCUCAUCAAGAUUUUAAGGAAGCUCUCGAUAGUUCUUGGCAGACACCAUCUCUUAUGGAAGAAAUUUAUAGGAGACUCAAAAAUAUACAUAAUCUCCUCUGUAUAAUGUGGAAAAUCACAAGUAAACAUAGUUUAUCGCCUG